AAGAUGUGAAAACUCUUACAGCAGGCUGGCAGAAAGAAGCCCCAGAGAAAGCAGACAUGCUCUGGGCUCUCCCUGCCUUGUAUGUAAUCCCAAGAGCUCAGCUGCCUGCAGGCCAGGGAAGUCACUCAGCUUUUAAAGGGGACAGGGGAUCACUCUGCCAACACUGCUACUGUCAACCAUCAGUCCUACUUGCAAUUGUCACAGAACAAGGUCAGGACUUCCAGAAAAACCCAAGAGUCCCCAGUAAAGUUCCUGUCCGAACUGCACUUCUCCUUGAUGUGUCAGGGUUAAAACUACAUUGAACAGAUUUGUGGAAAUUGUAGAUUUUAGGAAUGUCAAAUCUCCUUCAUGUGGCUGGUCGGAGAGGGUAGUUAGAAUAAAUAUUUUUAAGUUAGGGUUUUAUGACUAUAAUCUGAAUAUUUCAACUUAUAUUUAACCUAAACUUCUUUUUAAAGCAAUUUCGACUCUUUUGAUUUUAUACCCUUUCAUAGCCUAGGGAGGAGCUCAGAUGUCUCUUCAAGUGCCACAGCCUGCUUUGUGAAACCCUUUUAAGAUAUGCUAAUGGAUGGGAUGAUUAUUAAGAUAAAUGCCUUGUGUAGGAAACUGGACUUAAUUAUAAUAUCUAUAAUUAGUCACCGGUCAGCCUAGAAGUUAUAAUUUAUUGUUCCCUAAUUUGCCUUUAUUACCAAAGAUAUUUAACUUAAAGGAAUUAUUUUUAGGAAUAGCCUGAUUUGAAUGGUAAGCAUUUAACCAACUUCAAAACUAAUUUUUUUCAAACUUUUCUAAACUCAUAUAUAAUUUUAGAAAAUAAUACACCAGCAUAUGGGGGGUUGCUUGUAUGUGUUGAUUAAAAAAAAAAUGGAAAACUAAUUCAUAAGAAGAAACAAUAAAGGUUUUUUCUUCCAGAUCUUUAUUUUUAGAACACCAGGUAAACUUUUAUAUUAGGCAGGUUCAAGCGAGCGUGCUGGGGAUAUGCUGUUUGUGUGGUUGGUGAGCUGUCUCUAAUUUUUAAAAAAUAUAUAAUCUCUCUCCUAUCUAUCUAUCUAUCUAUCUAUCUAUCUAUCUAUUCAUUGAGUGUACAUUGGUGUUUUGCCUACAUGCAUCUCUGUGUGAAGGGGUCUGAUCCUGGAGUUACAGACAGCCAUGAGCUGCCAUGUGGGUGCUGGGAAUUAAACCCAGGUCCUCUGGAAGAGCAGUCACUACUCUUAAGCACUGACCCAUCUCUCCAGCCCCCUGAGGCGAGGCGCCUCUUAAUUAAACAACAGAUGCUCAUCCUUAUAGAUGAUAAUUUGCUCUGGACAUUCAUAAAUGGAACAGUAUUUGCUGCUGCAGCAACUUUUUUGCAGGGAUUGUUCCACACAGCUCAAUUGGGCUUCCAGACAAAGGGCCUCUGCGCUCUCUCCUCUGACCCCAGUCCUGGCAGGACUCUAGGAUCCUUGGCCACACAGGCAUGACAUUCUUGCAACUCUUUGUCUCUGAAUUAAUGUGGGUAUUGAAGGGCCUUGGCCCCCAUGUGAGAUAACAGAGCCUGUUAUCUAUUGUGCCUCCCAGGAAUCUUUUUAAUAAAUUCAGCCACACUUUGUCUCACAGUAUGUUAGUCUGAAAUAUAUCCACAGGGAAGUGACAUGUGGAUGUCAGAGACAUUCCUCUGGAAAUGCAGGAACCACUGUCCCAGAGUGAUGGCUGCAUUAUCUGCAUGAGUAAAUCUCUCAAGGUCCCACGUCUUCUGGCCAAGAUCAUCCAUGAGCCAUCUGGACAGGACUCAAGAUCCCACUGGAAGCAAAGAGCAGAAUGCUUCUGUCUCCAUCCCGUCUUCCCAGGAAUGCUAUGGGAAGCACUCUACCACAUAUAUAUGCAUAUAUGCACACAAAAUGAAUCAACGUGAUGCCAUAGGAAAAGAACAUGAGAGGAAGGAAGUGGUCAAAGAAAGAGGAGUCUUCACUGUGGAGAUUGGGGGCCAGUCAAAACAGAGCAUUCAUUUCAGACUUGUAUAUCAGAAAGAACUAGGAAGCCAUUGUAUCCCCAGUCACCUCAGGCUUGUGGCUUCAUCUAGGGGUUUGAUGAUGCACCUCCUCCUACUCCCCAGGACUCUUCUACUCUUCAGCAGAUCCGGCUUCUCUUUCCAGCAAAGUAGUGGCCUGUUCAGUGGAGAAGGGUGCAUGUCACCUGCCAUGACAGAACAGAUUGUGCUUGGCAACAUCUGGAGUCAGGGUGCGAAGGAACUACAGAUGUCUGUUGCAUAGAGACCGAAGGACUCCAACAUGGUCUACAGUGCACCUGGCAACUCUAAACCAAACAUCAAUCCAGGACUAAUGGGAUGUUGAAGUUUAGUCCCAUGUAAGCUGUGUUACUCUUCCUAAUGGUACUCAUUUCUGCCAGUGCCCAGUGAUGCCCUGUAUUAUUGACUUAGUACACACACACACACACACACACACACACACACACACACACACGCACACACUUUUCAGAGUUAUCCCCUGGAGACUGAUACUGAGCCAGGAGGCCAGACCUGAGCUGUUUUUAUUAGAGCCACAGGCAGAUUCCUGCAAAAAGAAAAAGGCUGAAGCCUAGAGUCAGGCUGUUUGGGGAGCUGAGUGCUCCCUCCCUAAGCUUAACCCUGUGCCCCCUAAGUGAAUUCCCUGCUGGUCAGAUGUAGAAUCCCACAACCUUUUCCUUUUCUCUCCCUUCCCUGUCACUCGGGUCUCACACUGUUCGUCAGAGCUGGACACCAUUCCCUCUGUCUGGGAGUUGGCCACAUGAAGGGAGGAAGCACAACAUGGAGAACCAAGGACCUUGUGCUUGGCCUGAAUCCCUCACUGUGAAGCAUGCGCAUCAGGCUCUCAUCUUCAAGUCAGAUGCCUGGGGGAAGCAAUUCAAAAGAAGGAAGGAUUGAUUUUUGGCUCUGAGUCCACUGUCCCUGGCUCCAUUGCUACCAGAAGUGGAAACAUAGAACAUAGCAGUGGCCAGGCAUGCGGCCCAGCAGAGGUGUUCACUACAGAUGGACUGGGAUUGUAUGUGUGUGUGUGUAUGUGUGUGUGUGUGUGUGUGUGUGUGUGUGAGAGAGAGAGAGAGAGAGAGAGAGAGAGAGAGAGAGAGAGACAGACAGACAGACAGACAGACAGACAGACACAGAGAGACAGAGGCAGAGAUAGAGUGAGGUAUUCACUACAAGAUGGCUGGGAUGUGUGUGUGUGUGUGUAUAUGUGUGUGUGUGUAUGAGAGAGAGACAGAGAGAAAGAGAUAGAGGGAGAGAUAGACAGAGAGGCAGAGAGAGACAGAGAGAAACAGAGAGACAGAGACAGAGAAACAGAGAUAGAGGGAGAGAUAGACAGAGACAGAAACAGAGAGAGAGAGAGAGAGAACUAGGGACACAGCAUAACCUUCAAAGGUGUGAGUGCUGCAACCCUCUCCCCUCUGCCCCUCCUUACCUAUGAAAAGGUUCUAUCACCUCCAAAGUAGCAUCUCCAGCCAGUGACCAAACCUUAAGCACAUGAGCCUCUGGGCCACUUCAGUUUCAAACCAUGGCUGGGCUGCUUAGGGUUUUCUAGACUUAGAUCAUGCGUGUGCCUUGUUCUUAUGAUUGUUGUCAUGUCUAUGAACCUCUUAGAUUCAUAUGUACUUAGUAUUUCCCUUGAUUCACUAAAUUUAUUCUAUGCA